rnacentral:rRNA from 1 species
CAGAACGAACGCUGGCGGCGCGUUUAAGCAUGCAAGUCGAGCGGCAAGGGCCUUCGGGCCCCUAGAGCGGCGGACGGGUGAGUAACACGUGGACAAUCUGCCCCCCGGCCCGGGAUAGCCCAGGGAAACCUGGAUUAAUACCGGAUGAGACGGGACCCGCGAUGGCGGGACCCGGGAAAGGCGCUGCGGCGCCGCCGGGGGAUGAGUCUGCGUCCCAUUAGCUAGACGGCGGGGUAACGGCCCACCGUGGCGACGAUGGGUAGCCGGCCUGAGAGGGUGGACGGCCACAUUGGAACUGAGACACGGUCCAGACUCCUACGGGAGGCAGCAGCUAAGAAUCUUCCGCAAUGGGCGAAAGCCUGACGGAGCGACGCCGCGUGAACGAAGAAGGCCGUGAGGUUGUAAAGUUCUUUUCGGGAGGGGGAACAACCGUGGCAGGGAAUGGCCGCGGGAUGACGUGAAUCCCGGAAUAAGCCCCGGCUAACUACGUGCCAGCAGCUGC